UGCGCCCACCGUCGUGAGGGUCAAUCCGGCCCUGGCUCUCCCUGCCACUGGGCCAGCUGCCUCAGGGCUCCCCGUGUGAGGGCUGCCCAUGACCUUGCUCUGGCCAGUGGGGCCCUGGGGAAGUGCGGUGUGAAGAGGCUGCCCCUUCAAUGGACCUGUUCCCUGGUUUGGGGCAAAGCUGGGUCAGGUAAUGCCUGGAGCCAUCCUUCCAGGCCUUGUUCUCAAUUCCUCCGCAUUUUCAGAACCGCCUACUGUUGGGGAUGCUCUUCCUUCGGCCCAAAGCAUCCCAACCAACAUGGCGGCGUCAGAGACAACUGGACUGUCCGGGCUGGCGACGGCCCAGGCAGUGUGACCCGAAGAGGAAUGGGAAGCUGGGGGAGCCGUGUUGGGGGUCGGUAAGGAUAAGGGGAUUGUGAUAGAAUCUUCUGGGGGUGUGGACAGUGAGUGUCAAGUCUGGGGCCUGGGACAGAGGUCGCGCCCAGAGGCAGAGGUGGAGCCCUGGCCCGAGGCUGUGGAUGAUGUCACAGGAGGGCAGUCCAGGGGAGGUCAGGGAUCCUGGGUCAACAGAGACAAACGCCUCUGCACAUUUUCAGACCCUGCAGUUAGGAGGCCGUGGGCUCAGGGCUGGCUGGAAAGUCAAUCCCACCCCUUCUACCUGCACAGCCCCCGCCCACUCCUCACUGGAGAGGCGCUUUCCUCUCUUCUGUGUCUGUUUCCUUUUUUAAUUAAAAAAAUAAACAAAAAAA
rnacentral:lncRNA from 1 species